CAUCACUGUCCGCGGUGUCACCGCUCUCAUGGAGAUAAAUGGGGACGUGGCUCCGGCAGCGCUCCCCAGUCACUUCCACUUAGGAGAUUGCUGGAGGAGACGGGUGCCAGACAGCCCAUCAUGGACCCCUCACAUACAAUGUGUCAAUUAGCAUGAGGCCAUGGAAUAUUUCUGUGGGAAGCACUGGAAUCCCAUGGAAAGCAUUUUUGAUGAUUUAAGACACUUCCCUAUCCCUGGAAGUGUUCACAGGAUUUCCUUACCACAGGACAGCUCCCAGGCAUGGAUCCACCCCAGCCCUGACACCCUGUGCAGCCCCAGGUUUCUCUGAUUCUUCUGAAACAUUUGACAGAAAUCCUUCUAUUGUUUGGAAAACUAAAAUCAGAUCAGCAAAGCCGAAACCUUUCAGUGCCACCCUGAGUUCCUGUGGCAAAAGUGGCUCCAGCCCCGCGUUCCCUGCGAGUUUUUGGAUUGCAGAACAUCCUUGCGUGGUGUUAACACUCUCCACAAGCAGGACAAUCCAUGUUUCUUGUUUGGUUAACACUGGGUGGCUCCAGGGCCUUCCCACACACAUUUAUUUGCAUAUUUCUUCCAAUGGAACAUAAUAAAGUAUUCAUAUCGUUAAAGGAAA